GGUCGCAGCGGCAGCAGCAGUGGGCGGUGGGCGGUGGGUGGCUUUGGGGUGGCGGUGCCAGAAUUAAGCCGAAAAAUCGCGAAUAAGCCGAAAGUGCGUGCUCCCGACUGAGCCACCUACGAGUUUUACCACCAAAACAAAAACACAAAACGGCAAAAGCUAGAAAGUAACAUUAUUUCAAGUGCCAACAACAUCCACGUCACGUGCCCGUCAGCGACAAUGUCUUGGUCUAGUCUUGGUUCUAUAACGCCUUUGACCUCCAAGCACGCCGAAGCUUUACAAGUUGAGUUGUUGCCCCGUGCGGCGUGGACUUUGCACCCGCCAGCCCCGGUAGCACUUUUAACCCGGCCAAAACGGCCACUGUUGCCGGAACCACACGCGGCCAAAGCGCUUUCAUGAGGAUGCCAGGACACGGCCGGCCAGCAUUUCCUACAGGGCACGAAGGACAUCCUCGGCAACAUCAAACGAGAGCGCCCACAAGGGGAUACAGUUGUUAACGUGGCCAAGGAGCAGCGACGACUAUGGCGGGUACAAAAACACAAACAUGGCAACCGAGUGUGUCGUGAAGGCAGCAAAAGGACGAAGGGGACAAAGGACAACGGACGGAGGAGAGCACUUUAUGUGCAUAUAAUGUCCGCCAACACACACACAGGCACACACAGGACCACCUCGAGUACAGUGUCGGCCAAGUUGCGGGGAAUUGUUAAUAUUGUCUGGGCCUGUAAGCAGCAUUUACAUGCUGGCCGACACCACGUACUACAUACGUCCUGGCUGAUGGACGACGGGAAGAAGCUCCUGCUCCUCCUGCUGCAGUUCCUGGUCCUGUUUCUACUGCUCCUGCGGCUGAUGAUGCCCGCUUUAAAUGUUGAAUUAACUGACGAAACCGGCAGCUUUCAUUAGAAGUGGAGGUUGGAUCCUGUGACUGGAGAGAGUUGUGGGAUGUGGAAAGCCCAAAUGCCGAUGCAUUCUCGAUUCACCGACAUUAAGACAAAAAUAAACUUGAUUUUGGUAUGAAAUUGAUUCAUUCAUUUUCGAUCCAUUGAGUAAGAUUCUUAUCCGAUGGAUGAGUCGGGCAGCCUCUUCCACGCUUCCAACUGUGUGCCCAUCCAACAGGUAGUCAAACCAGACAAACUGUCUCCACUUGGACAUCGUCUUCGUUUCCCUCAUCUUUUUUCCCCUCUGAAGGCGAACGAGUGCACUUUGAAUGCAGAUUUUUAAGGAGCAGAAUCUGAAGGAUGAUGGUCAUAUUCGGAGCUACUUGGGUUUUGCAAAUAUCUGGUGACAGGGGACUCUACGGAUUUACAGCAAACCUGAAAUUAUCAGCUAUGAGGAAUAUUUCCGGAAUAUUAUUACAAACUUUAAUAUUUUAAUAA